rnacentral:rRNA from 1 species
AUUGAACGCUGGCGGAAUGCUUUACACAUGCAAGUCGGGCGGCAGCGCGGGGGCAACCCUGGCGGCGAGCGGCGAACGGGUGAGUAACACAUCGGAACGUACCCUGUCGUGGGGGAUAACGAAUCGAAAGAUUCGCUAAUACCGCAUACGACCUGAGGGUGAAAGCGGGGGACCGCAAGGCCUCGCGCGAUUGGAUGAGCCGACGUCGGAUUAGCUAGUUGGCGGGGUAAAGGCCCACCAAGGCGACGAUCCGUAGCUGGUCUGAGAGGAUGAUCAGCCACACUGGAACUGAGACACGGUCCAGACUCCUACGGGAGGCAGCAGUGGGGAAUAUUGGACAAUGGGCGCAAGCCUGAUCCAGCAAUGCCGCGUGUGUGAAGAAGGCCU